CGGACGGGUGAGUAACGCGUGAGUAACCUGCCUUACACAAGGGGAUAGCCGUUGGAAACUACGAAUAAUACCCUAUGACAUAAACUCCUCGCAUGAGGAGCUUAUCAAAGAUUUAUCGGUGUAAGAUGGACUCGCGUCUGAUUAGCUAGUUGGUGAGGUAACGGCCCACCAAGGCGACGAUCAGUAGCCGGCUUGAGAGAGUGUACGGCCACAUUGGGACUGAGACACGGCCCAGACUCCUACGGGAGGCAGCAGGU
rnacentral:rRNA from 1 species